rnacentral:rRNA from 1 species
GAUGAACGCUGGCGGCGUGCUUAACACAUGCAAGUCGAACGGAAAGGCCCAAGCUUGCUUGGGUACUCGAGUGGCGAACGGGUGAGUAACACGUGGGUGAUCUGCCCUGCACUUCGGGAUAAGCCUGGGAAACUGGGUCUAAUACCGGAUAGGACCACAUUUUGGAUGGUGUGGUGGAAAGUUUUUCGGUGUGGGAUGAGCUCGCGGCCUAUCAGCUUGUUGGUGGGGUAAUGGCCUACAAAGGCGUCGACGGGUAGCCGGCCUGAGAGGGUGUACGGCCACAUUGGGACUGAGAUACGGCGCAGACUCCUACGGGAGGCAGCAGUGGGGAAUAUUGCACAAUGGGGGCAAGCCUGAUGCAGCGACGCCGCGUGGGGGAUGACGGCCUUCGGGUUGUAAACUCCUUUCGCUAGGGACGAAGCGUUUUUGUGACGGUACCUGGAGAAGAAGCACCGGCUAACUACGUG